GUUGUGGUUGCUCAUGCGAGAGGCCUGCAUGUGCAGGCUGGCCAAGCUGGUACUGCUUCCUGGUACACCACUUUCAGCUUGGUGUUUGAGGGGCCUAGGUUCAAUGGGUCAACAUUACAUGUAACGGGGAUCACCGGCUUCGAGGGCCAGUGGGUUGUUGGUGGUGGGACUGGAGAACUGGCAUCGGCACACGGCGUCAUCAAGCACAAAAUACUCACAGGCUUGGGCUCGGCCGUUGAGAAUUAUAGACAGCUAGAUAUACAGGCAUUCUACACCCCGCCAACGGUUAAUGAAAAGGGUCUUUCCAUCAUGUAAUUUGAUAAAGCAUGUGUUAAGGGUUGCAUGCCCUGGGUAGAUGUGACAAGCUACAUCAAGAGGUUGUGAAAUAAUGCGUGGAUUUAUACACUGGGAUGGUCUAUUAAUCCUAAGAUCCAUGGUCUGGUCUUUGUUGUU